GUAGGGUGCAAGCGUUAAUCGGAAUUACUGGGCGUAAAGCGUGCGCAGGCGGUUGUGUAAGUCAGAUGUGAAAUCCCCGGGCUCAACCUGGGAAUUGCAUUUGAGACUGCACGGCUAGAGUGUGUCAGAGGGGGGUAGAAUUCCACGUGUAGCAGUGAAAUGCGUAGAUAUGUGGAGGAAUACCGAUGGCGAAGGCAGCCCCCUGGGAUAACACUGACGCUCAUGCACGAAAGCGUGGGGAGCAAACAGGAUUAGAUACCAUGGUAGUCCACGCCCUAAACGAUGUCUACUAGUUGUCGGGUCUUAAUUGACUUGGUAACGCAGCUAACGCGUGAAGUAGACCGCCUGGGGAGUACGGUCGCAAGAUUAAAACUCAAAGGAAUUGACGGGGACCCGCACAAGCGGUGGAUGAUGUGGAUUAAUUCGAUGCAACGCGAAAAACCUUACCUACCCUUGACAUGGAUGGAGUCCCGAAGAGAUUUGGGAGUGCUCGAAAGAGAACCAUCACACAGGUGCUGCAUGGCUGUCGUCAGCUCGUGUCGUGAGAUGUUGGGUUAAGUCCCGCAACGAGCGCAACCCUUGUCAUUAGUUGCUACGAAAGGGCACUCUAAUGAGACUGCCGGUGACAAACCGGAGGAAGGUGGGGAUGACGUCAAGUCCUCAUGGCCCUUAUGGGUAGGGCUUCACACGUCAUACAAUGGUACAUACAGAGGGCCGCCAACCCGCGAGGGGGAGCUAAUCCCAGAAAGUGUAUCGUAGUCCGGAUUGGAGUCUGCAACUCGACUCCAUGAAGUUGGAAUCGCUAGUAAUCGCGGAUCAGCAUGUCGCGGUGAAUACGUUCCCGGGUCUU
rnacentral:rRNA from 1 species